CGGUGACAGGCCGCGGCCCCGCCACGGUGACGGGCCCCAGGCCCGCCGCGGUGACAGGGCGGGCCCUGCAGCCGGGCCAGCCCCGCGGCUCAGACGGAGCCCGGGGUGGCGGGGACGGGAGGGUGGCCCGGAGAGGGGUUUGGCCGCUGCGGAGGGAGGGCGGGACCGUCCCGCUAGCCGACAGGGCCUCCCCGGGGCCGGGGGUCGCGGUGCUCCCGGCGCUGUCGGGAGCGAUCCCUGGCUUCGGGGCUCCCUGCUGCAGGAGGACGCGGUCCCCGCUGAAGGAAAACUGGUUUGCUGUUGCCCCCACCUGGAGGAUAACCGGAGGGAGUCGCGGUGGUCGGGAGCGGGACGGGGUCGCGGCGUUCCAGGCCGUUUCCCUGGGAUGAAAUUAACAAAAUGAGAGAAGCCCACAUUAAAACACGGACUUUCAGCAUCACUGCAAAAGUGGAAUGCGGUAGCAUAAUUUCUGUAUUAAACAUUUACCUUCGGCUGAGGUAGCUAUAAUAAGACGGUGAUUUUCCCUCUUGGUACGCUCCGGUCCCUUGUGGUUCAGAGGAGCCCCCCCAGCAGCCACUGCUGUGACUCCCACCUCCUGUAGACAUGCUGAAGGUGGCUCCCAGGGCUGAUGAGGCUCAGCAGGAGCUCACCGUGGAGCUCUCUCCCUGCUGUGCUCCUGCGGGCUUCCCGGCUGCAGGGAGCUGCUGGGAGAGCACGGAUGUGCUGCCGGCGCUGUCGGAGCGAGCGCGCACCACCUUGGUAUUUGCCAUUUUGACUAAACCAAUGGUUUCAACUGGGAUCCAUGGACUACUCCUAAAGGAUCUGCAAAAGGUAAGUAAGAAAAGCAAAUUGAUCGUCAGAAGCUUAAAUCUGUUACGUGAGGGUCAACUUGAAAAUGUUUGGAGGUUGGCACGUUACAAAAAGUUGAAGAUCACAGGCAUAAAGAGGAUUUUCAGGCUUACUCACAAUUGAACGAUCGUAUUACAUAUCAGGUUCCUACCCAUAUAUUUGAAAAUAUUUCAGAGCCAAAUUAAAAUGGACAGUCUGACUAUGCCAAAUCCUUCUCUCUGCUUAUGCAAAUUUUGGGAAACUCCACUGGUUUCAGGAGCGUUAGUCUGGACCCACAUCACAGUACCAGUCAGAAAAAAAACAUGCAUUGUAUACAUCUCUGGCUACUGUAAAAUCCCAGUAUUAUAUUUGUAUUUUGGGUUUCUUUGAGUGUACAGAUCACUUGUCCAAAGUCAAACUUUGCUCAAGUUUCAGUAAAAAAAAAAAAGUGAAGUAAAAUACAAAAAGAUAAAAUCUGUGUGGCUGCUGGUGGUUUAUUAUCGUAACUAUUUCAGUCAGAACACUUGUGUUUUCUAGUUGUUUAAAAAUGCAUGGGGAGUGCAGCUGAAGGGGGUUGCAUCAGUUACACUAUCCACAAAUCUCACAGGAAAAAACUUGUGCUUUGGGGCACUCUGUGGGAAAGCAGAGAAGGUGGGGUGUACCACAACACCGUGGGGAAAAUCAUGGGAAAUACAAGCUGCUGCUGCCUUUUUUUUCUCCCCUUGCACCUUUUUUUUUUUUUUUUUUUCCCCUUUGCAACUCUUCUCUGCGUUACACAGUCUGGGGCACGAGCAGCUACAGCCAAGAAAUGGAAGCACCAGGAAAGUAAACAAAGGCCUGAAGCUUUUUCAGGAAAUUUUUGACCUCUGUGAGAUCCCAGGCUGAGUGGGCUCUGAAAGAACUGUAGUUUCCAGUGGUGCCAAAAGAUCUUACAUUCUGUGUAGCAGUAAUCCCCUGUUCCUCUACCUGAGUGGAGCGUGCUGGAUCCCAGGC
rnacentral:lncRNA from 1 species